AGUGCAACUCUGUUAGCAUAAAUCUAAUUAUCUAAAGUCCAUGCACUGCCUUUUUCUCUCUAUAUAUAAACUCUCGAUUACGAAAUGUUGCUGAAUUCACAUAUUGUUUUCUACAAGAGCUACAAACUUAGUUUGGGAGUCAUCAGAAAAGCAGAGAAAGUAAAACAAAUGGCUAUUUGGACAUGGAUGUUUGGGCAUACUUGCUGCAGAUGAUGAUAGGGAAAACUAUCAUCCCAGUGCUGUAUGAUUGAGGAUGACGACCGGCUUUAGCUACUUGGUCAACUGAAUGGUGAUCAACACAAUGAAACUUGAAAAUAGGACCUACCUCGUUUUCUUCAAAGUUUAUAAUCAACGUGAUUAGCCAUGUUCUAUUGGGAUUGAUAGGAUCUGCGAAGAAAAAAAAAGAGCCACAAUAUUUCUAUUACUGCACCUGCCGGAGUUGUUACUGUUUCUGUUAGAAGUUUAAAACUUGAAAUUGAGAAGGCUAAGUUCGAUUUAUGCAAUGCGCAAGCAACAGUGGUGAUCUGAUACCAUCAACUUCAUUGUUCACUUUGUAGUGUUUGGUGACUCAUGU
rnacentral:lncRNA from 1 species